GCUCCUUUCGUGUAGUUGGUUAUCACGUGGGAUUUUGAUUCCCAAAACGCAAGUUCGAAUCUUGCAAGGAGCU
rnacentral:tRNA from 2 species